ACUCAAAGGAAUUGACGGGGGCUCACACAAGCGGUGGAGCAUGUGGCUUAAUUCGAGGCUACGCGCAAAACCUUAUCCCGGGCUUGACAUGCACGGAUUAACCGGCGGAAACGUCGGCGAGGCCGCAAGGUACAACGUGCACAGGUGCUGCAUGGCUGUCGUCAGCUCGUGUCGCGAGAUGUUGGGUUCAGUCCCGUAACGAGCGAAACCCCUGUGACUAGUUGCCAGCGGGAAAGCCGGGCACUCUAGUCAGACCGCCGGCGUCAAGCCGGAGGAAGGCGGGGAUGACGUCAAGUCCUCAUGGCCCUUAUGCCCGGGGCUGCACACGUGCUACAAUGGGCCGGACAAAGCGUCGCGAUGCCGCAAGGCCGAGCCAAUCGCAAAAACCGGCCCUCAGUUCGGAUUGCGGGCUGCAACCCGCCCGCAUGAAGCUGGAAUCGCUAGUAAUCGCGGAUCAGCACUGCCGCGGUGAAUGGGUUCCUGAGCCUUGUACACACCGCCCGU
rnacentral:rRNA from 1 species